AACGCUAGCUACAGGCUUAACACAUGCAAGUCGAGGGGCAGCAUGAACUUAGCUUGCUAAGUUUGAUGGCGACCGGCGCACGGGUGAGUAACGCGUAUCCGACCUUCCCCUGUCCCGGGUAUAGCCUUCCGAAAGGAAGAUUAAUCCCCGAUGGUGUCAAGGGUCUGCAUGGAACCUUGACUAAAGUAUUUUACGGACAGGGAUGGGGGUGCGUCCCAUUAGGUUGUUGGCGGGGUAACGGCCCACCAAGCCGACGAUGGGUAGGGGUUCUGAGAGGAAGGCCCCCCACAUUGGAACUGAGACACGGUCCAAACUCCUACGGGAGGCAGCAGUGAGGAAUAUUGGUCAAUGGCCGUAAGGCUGAACCAGCCAAGUAGCGUGGAGGAUGACUGCCCUACGGGUUGUAAACCUCUUUUGCNCGGGGACAAAGUUCCCCAUGCGUGGCGUUUUGCGGGUACCUCNCGAAUAAGGACCGGCUAAUUCCGUGCCAGCAGCCGCGGUAAUACGGAAGGUCCGGGCGUUAUCCGGAUUCAUUGGGUUUAAAGGGAGCGCAGGCCGCCUNUUAAGCGUGCCGUGAAAUGCCGCGGCUCAACCAUGGAACUGCAGCUGAACCUGGAUGGCUUGAGUGCGCNGAAAGCAGGCGGAACUCGUGGUGUAACGGUGAAAUGCUUAGAUAUCACGAAGAACUCCGAUUG
rnacentral:rRNA from 1 species